UGGCCACUUUUUGAGAACAUCGUAUUCUCUUAAUAUGUGUAUGCUAGUAAGCGUCAAUAAAAUUACAGUUUGUGAUAAGUAUUAUAUUUACAAAUAUCCCAGGUACUUACCGAUGUCAAUGUCUACCAGACUGGCAUGGAACCAACUGCACUCAUUUCAACUGUACAGGUCGCGCAUGCGCAAACCAGGGUUUGUGCAUUGAUGGGGCAUGCACGUGUACAGGAGGAUGGAUUGGACCGGACUGUCGACAGCGCCCGACAACAACAGCCAUGUCCACGACGGAAAAUGGUUACACGGCGAAAGAGGAUACUUCGGGUAAAAAAUCCUCAAUGAAUGACACGACAACAACAGCCAUGUCCACGACGGAAAAUGGUUACACGGCGAAAGAGGAUACUUCGGGUAAAAAAUCCUCAAUGAAUGACACGACAACAACAGCCAUGUCCACGACGGAAAAUGGUUACACGGCGAAAGAGGAUACUUCGGAAACAAAGCACAUUCGGCUCCUGUUCUACAUAACUGCAUCGACAUCUGGGUUGUUGCUGUUGUUGUAAAUGAUAAUAGCAGCCUGUGUUCUCGUCAAAAUUAAAGCGUUAAAACAGCAAUCAAAUAAAUCUGGAAAUUUGUCCGGAAAUCGAGUACAACGUCAGGGAGAUGUCUGUGCAAACAGAAGAUAUGAAGAUGUCAACACCAAGAUCAUCAAGCAACUUACCCAAAGUAAUCGAGUUGAUGCUUUAAAAGACUUGUAAGCAGACGUGUGUUAACUAAGUGAUUUUAAUAUGCUCAGCCCGUGAGUCUAUAAGAUCGCUAUUUACUGUGUGUGGGUUCGUUUAUAUUUAUCAAGCAAUCCACAUAUUAUUUAUUCUUGUCAAAAGGAUCAUAAUACCAGACGUCGAUUUCGCAAAUUUAUUUCUUUUUGGUUUAGUUUUACAUGAAAGCUUUACUUUGAUACUUACAAGGAGUUUCUUAAAACGCCAAUAUGCCAGUUUGGAUUCUCGUCGUAAUAGGAAUUCCCACUUAAUGUAUGUGUCAGUAGAAUAGUACGAACAUUUGAAACGUAAGGAAUUCCCACUUUAUGUAUGUGUCAGUAGAAUAGUACGAACAUUUGAAACGUAUGUACACACACUGUGUAUUGAAAAAGAAACACAUUGACUAAGACUGUUAUAUUAAUAAUGAUUAUUAUACAUUUAAUUAUGAUGUGCUGAUAAUGGCUAUUAAUUUACGGUUGCAAUAUCGCUCACAUGUUCUUUUAUCAAACUAGCUUCGGUAAAAAGGUAUACUAUCUAAACUCGAGGAUCAUACGGCACUAAAACAUUGUUUGUGUUAAGGAUAUGUUAUCAAAUAAUUAUAUUGUAUUCAUCAUUUUUUACCAUCACGGCUGUAUGCCUCCCUAUCAAAUUUAUGUUUUCUUUAUAUAAAUACCUCAGUUAAAUAGUUUAUGUGUAAAUUAUUUUGCCACGUUGUAUCAUUGCUUUUAAAUUCACAUAGGAACAAACUGAUUUUAGUAGCUUCUUUAACGCCUUGGUUCACAUAUUGUCUAAUUUUGGACAAAUGACAUAAUUGUCAUUAAAUUGAUUUAUAAAAAAACAGUUGGUAUGUUUUAUAGUGGUAUAUAAUACUACAUAAGGGGAAAAAAGUAAGCAAAUAUGCCUUCCAGGCGUUCGAACCCAGGACUUAUGUAUACUAAAGCUUACAACUUAACUAUAUAACACACAUGCUUUUGCAUUUGGGAGGAAGGUUAAACUUUAUUUUUUUAUUGUUAUGUCCCCCAUUUUGAGUGAUGAAAGGUCAAGUUCAUGGUUAUCCUUCAAGGUCAAAGGUCAAAAUCGCUCAUUUAAUGUACACUUUUGCAAUAUUGAAGCUAGCAACUUGAUAUUUGGCAUGCAUGUGUAUCUCAUGGAGCUGCACAUUUUGAGUGGUGAAAGGUCAAGUUCAUCCUGCAAGGUCAAAGGUCAUAUAUAUGGGGACAUAUUGUUUCACAAACACAUCGCUUGUUUUUCUAAAUAAUCGAUGAAACGCUUUACAGAAUAUUUUUUCUGAUUCUGAUUUAUGCAUAAGUUAGAUAGGUUAAACAUUUCUCCCCCAUACUGAUGUAUUUGAUUAAGGAAAGGAAACUUGACAUUAAAAGCGUAUAUAUUUGCUUUCAAUAUUGUAAAACUUUGCUUUGUAUAUUUCAUAAUAUAACACGAGAUUUUCGUGCAUUUCACUCUCGCAAAAUUAACCUGAACAAUUGGAAAGUACUGAUUCUUGCUUAUAGACUUCGAACUGUAAAGAGUAUCAAUAAAUUAUUUAACAGUAACAAUAAUGUCGUCAUGGGGCACUAUGUCACCUUAUCCAGUAGGUCGAAAUUUGCUUUCUUAAUCUUACCUUGUUUGCUAUUUGCCCCGACGCAACACAUGACGAUGUUUUAGAUUGAGUGAUCGGAUAAGUUGAAGUGUGAGUUAUCGUGAAAAUAUUUAUUUUACAUGCUUUAACGUCUGAUAUAUGAAAGCGCAUGUGUUUGUUUAAGGAUUUUGUAAUCUCGUCAAUACAUUAUGUUUUUGCAAUCAAUUCGCAUCAUGUAGUGUACUGUAUUGGGGUUUAAGCUCGGGUUAAAAUGCCUACUACACAAGAACAAGUAACAAUAUGGCGACAAAUUUAAUAAUUGUCGUAGUCGCGCCCUGUCUGUGUAGUUUUUUGCUGGUAUAUUUUUAGUUCUCGCACCUUAUUUAUACCCACCAACACGCCAGAACGAUAGAGCAGACCUCGGUCAGCAUACGAUGAAGUCCAAUAAGUAUUACAUGUGUACGUCCCGUGAGACGUUCAAGUACCAUCACACUUUGCUUGAUAAAAUACAAUUUCUGUGUAAUCGAUUUAUAAGAUAAAAUUUCAAGUACAAUCAAAGAUAUUUAAUUUUCCCUUUCAACAUGCAUAUAAAUUGAAAAAUCGUUUACUCCUUUAUCAUGAGAUAAUAUUGAAAGAACACAUGCAAUGUAUAACAACAUAGCGGUUAAAUAAAAACUAUAAUGUCGUAUUUAUACUAACUUUGUUCAUUCGAAUAAUUCGCAGCUAGACUUCAACUCUGCAAA